rnacentral:rRNA from 1 species
AGUGAACGCUGGCGGUAGGCCUAACACAUGCAAGUCGAACGGCAGCACAGUAAGAGCUUGCUCUUACGGGUGGCGAGUGGCGGACGGGUGAGGAAUACAUCGGAAUCUACUUUUUCGUGGGGGAUAACGUAGGGAAACUUACGCUAAUACCGCAUACGACCUACGGGUGAAAGCAGGGGAUCUUCGGACCUUGCGCGAUUGAAUGAGCCGAUGUCGGAUUAGCUAGUUGGCGGGGUAAAGACCCACCAAGGCGACGAUCCGUAGCUGGUCUGAGAGGAUGAUCAGCCACACUGGAACUGAGACACGGUCCAGACUCCUACGGGAGGCAGCAGUGGGGAAUAUUGGACAAUGGGCGCAAGCCUGAUCCAGCCAUACCGCGUGGGUGAAGAAGGCCUUCGGGUUGUAAAGCCCUUUUGUUGGGAAAGAAAAGCAGCAGGUUAAUACCCCGCUGUUCUGACGGUACUCAAAGAAUAAGCACCGGCUAACUUCGUG